GACGAACGCUGGCGGCGUGCUUAACACAUGCAAGUCGAACGGAAAGGCCCUGCUUUUGUGGGGUGCUCGAGUGGCGAACGGGUGAGUAACACGUGAGUAACCUGCCCUUGACUUUGGGAUAACUUCAUGAAACUGGGGCUAAUACCGGAUAGGAGCUCCUGCUGCAUGGUGGGGGUUGGAAAGUUUCGGCGGUUGGGGAUGGACUCGCGGCUUAUCAGCUUGUUGGUGGGGUAGUGGCUUACCAAGGCUUGGCGGGGUAGCCGGCCUGAGCGGGUGACCGGCCACAUUAGGACGGAGAUGCGGCACAGCCUCCUACGGGAGGCAGCAGUGGGGAAGAGUGCACAAUAGGCGGAAGCCUGAUGCAGCAACGCAGCGUGGGGGAUGACGGCCUUCGGUUUGUAUUCCGCUUUCGCCUGUGACGAAGUGUGAGUGACGGUAAUGGGUAAAGAAGCACCGGCUAACUACGUG
rnacentral:rRNA from 1 species